GUGCGUCUUAGGAGAGCAACAUUUACAAAUUUGAUUUCUUUGGACAACUCAGGGUCUGAAAUCUCUGGUAAUUGAAAGUGAAGGUUGGGAAUCUUGGUGCAGAUCGACUCCCAUCUUGUGGAUAGAAAACAUGUUCUAUAACACUCUUUGGUUGAUAGGAAAGACAAAAUAUGACAAAUCAAAUCGUCUGAGAGAUUGCUUAAUCGAUCAUGUUUUUCAUCAGAGCACGCCAUGACCUAAUCUGAACAGCAGAGUAAAGUUAUGACAUGAUUGAAGAGAUUUCAUUAACAAUAAGCAGAGAGAUUAAUGCCAUGACCGGGCAAUGUUUUUACAAAUGUUACAUGAAAAAUGUUACUGAAGCUGUCAUAAUUAUAGACAUGAUUUCGACAAGGGAAACUUGCAAUAUGUAAUAAAAAGAGUCAGAAUGCACACAUGUGGAAAAGAGACCGUAACAAGGUCUCUAGCAACAUUUUAUCAGCUGAAACUUGGCUUAGGUUAAACAUUUUCUCAUAAAAAAAAAACCAAGAUUGUUGGAAAAACCUCAACUUUCUGCCAACAAGACCAAAACCAAAACCAAAACAAAUUUAAUGUUGUUCUGUCUUCUUUGAAAAAUCUCUAUCAUUCCCUCAAAAGAUGGGGUUUAGAACAAGACAUCAAAGUUGAAUUGAAAAUCACAUUAACAACAAAAAACCAACAGCUACCAGAAACCCAAAAAUCACAUUAUCAGUUGAAUUGAAAAACAAAGAACAGAGGUGAGGUCGCACGCACCUUAUGAACUCAAUUGAUGAGUUCAGAGUAACGGAAAGGGGUGAACGUUGUUGUAUUCGCGGUUUUCUGUAUAAACAAACAAAUAUGAAUUAAAAAUGAAGUUUCUGAAUCAGAAUUUGAAGAAAGUGAAUGAGGAGUUUUAACAAACAUGUUAAGUGCAUAAUAAAAAAAAACGUUGAAAAGUGAAGAUUGUGUACGAUAAAUCAGUUGAAACAAAAGACAUUGAGAAUUACCACAAUAAAUGAAGAAAUGAAAUUGGUGGUGUUUUCCUUUCUACAUUUUGAGAUGAUUUUAGUCUCUGAUUUAUAGUCUAAGAAUUAGGGUUAGCAAGAUUUGUUGUUCAAUGCUCAAAAUGAAAAGAUUGAAAAGCAAAGAGGAAAAGAAGGCUUUGUAUCAUACUCCAAGAAGAAGGAUUCAGUUGAUGUACUUGCUCUGCCAUACUGUGCUACUGCCAUGUGAGUGGUUAAUGGCACAUGUCUACACUUUUAACUUUUAACACCCAAGCAUUAAACUGAUUGACAUUUGAUAAGUUCAGCGAAUAAUUGAAUAUUUCGAUAAAUUGGGAGAUGAAAUUGAUUGAUGCUUGGAAAUUUAAGGAUGAAGUUGAGUAUUCACUCAAAAUUUAUCAUUUAAGAUAGAGUGAAUAUACAUUUUAGUUUUCAAAUUUGCAUGCAUCGGUCAAUUUCAUCCCUUAAUUUUUUCGAAAUAGCAAAUACGCCCCUAAAUUUUUUCAAUCAAUUUAGUCCCUUUGCCAAGUCUCGUCGUUAACGGUGCUGACGUGGAGUUUCAAGUCAGCUUCCACGUGUAUAAUGACGAAUUUGAUCGAAUUUUUUUGACUUUUUUUUAAUGAAAGUCAACACAAAUUGUUACACCGUCAAGUCAAUCCUGAAUUAUUGAUUAAAAAUCAAGCAGGUCCCUGAAUUAUGUCAAUGACUAUCAAAUCAAUCUCUAAAUUAUUUAAUUUUUUCUAUCAAUUUGAUUCAUGAUACUCUCAAAUAAAUUGAUCCUUAAAUAAUAAUAACAAAUAUGGUGAUUAUGUCUAUAAAUAGACACUCAAGUGAAGUGCAUAGUGUUCACUAAACACAAAAUAUGUAACCUGCAGGUGAAAGAAAUGCUCAGGCAAGACAAAUUAACAGAAGCAUUUGUGUCUUUUUGAAUUGGCUAAUUUGAGUUUAUAUAUAUAUAUAUAUAUAUAUAUAUAUAUAUAUAUAUAUAUAUAUAUAUANNNNNNNNNNNNNNNNNNNNNNNNNNNNNNNNNNNNNNNNNNNNNNNNNUAUAUAUAGGGUGCGUUUGUUUUAACUUUAAAAAAAAAUUGUGUUAAAGGAAUCUAGAGAUUAAAUUUUAGAAAUUUGAAAAACAAAUCUGAAGUAUUUUUUGUUUGCAUACUAUCCAUAAAAAUUCAUUUUUAAAAUAAAAUAAGUGUUAACAUCUACAUGUGUUACCUCCUUGUUUUUGAAAAAACUUGAUUAUAAGAAAAGUUAAUCCUAAUAGCUUUUCAUUUUAGGAUCAAAAUAGAUUUUGUUGAUAAAAUAAUUUUUCUAAAAAUUAAAAAAAAUUCCUAAUACUUAAAAAUGAAAAAAGUGAUUCAGUUGCUGUACUUGCUCUGCCAUACUCUGCCUACUGCUCACUUUUUAUUGUUUUUUUUUAUUUUUUUUUAUUUUUAGUUAUAUCAUUUUUUAACUAAAAAAUAAUAUUUUUAAUGGUUUUUUCAUAUAAUGUAAGGAUUCGCUUGCUGUUGCUCUGCCAUACUGUGCUACCGCUCACUUUUAAUUUUUUAAUUUUUAGUUAUAUAAAAAGUGAUAUAACUAAAAAUUAAAAGUACAAACAUAUAAAUUUUUAGGAAAAAUCAUAUACCAAAAAGUAUAUUCAAAAACAGCAAUUUCAUGUGAUCUAAACAACCUAUCAAAGCUUCAACAACACACAAAGUAGAAAGCAUUUUCAUAGCAACUACUCAACAAAAAAAACAUGAACAAUCAUAAAAUUCAAAACCAGUGAAAUCAUGAAAUAAUUAAAAAAAAUGUGAAAUGUAGUGAAAAUGAAGAACACAUACCUGAUUUGAUUACAGUAAGAGUAAAAUCGCGUAGCCAAAUUAGAAGAGUGUAGGUUUAAGGAGAUGGAAUCGAAUCCAAUUUUUCACAUUUUUUAGCAUUUAUUUGACAGCGAGGAUCAAAUUGAUAGAUAAGAUAAAUAAUUCAGGGAUCAAUUUGAUAGUGAGUGACUAAUUCAUGGACCAACUUGAUUUUUAAUGAAUAAAUCAAGGAUCAAUUUGACAGUUACAAUUUGUAUUGACUUUCAUUUUUUUUUAAGUCCAAAAAAAAAUUCUAUCAAAUUCGUCCCUAUACAUGUGGAAGUUGACUUGCAACUCCACGUCAGCCUGAACGUGAAACGUCAGCACGGUUAACGGUGAGACUUGACGAAGAGACUAAAUUGAUUGACAUUUAUAAGAUUCAGGGACAUAUUUGCUAUUUUGAAAAAUUGAGGGAUGAAAUUGACUAAGGACCAAAAUGCAUAUUCACUCUUUAAGCUAUUUAUACAGUAUUAUAAGAACAUACUUUAACAUUUUUCUUUGUCAAUUUAUGGACUUUAGUCAGCGGUAAAGUUAGCACAAUUUUUAUGAGGGGGCCAAAUAUAAAGAAGAAAUAAAAUAUAUUUUAAAAACCAUAUAUUAAACUUAAUCAAUAAGUAAAAUAAAUUUACAAUAAUUUUUACUUAUAUUUAAUGAAACGACAACGAAGAAACUAAAAUCUAACAAUAAUUAUUUAUAAAAGUUGAGCUCUAUGAUGUUGUAAGAAGUCAAAUUUAUCUUUAAUUGACACUAACUUAAAUAGAUCAUCAUAUUUUAUUAACAUCAUCCCUCUUUCAAUCAACAAAAUUGUUUAGAGUAGUAAAGUAAUAAUGUAAUAUAUCUAUCAAUUUGGGGUAUGAUUCUAACUAGCAAAGGACAUGUACACUCGGACGGGUCCGUUUAUUUGUACUCCCUCUGUUUUAAAAUGAGUGUUGUUUUAACAAAAAAGUGCUAAAAAAAAUUGUUUCAAAAUGAAUGUCACUUUCAGUUUUCAAUGCAAUAAUAAUUUUUUCUUUUCAAUUAUACCCUUCAAUUAAUACUAUGUUACACUACUUCCAAAGUAUUAUUUUUUCUUUAAUGAAAAUCAAACCAAUAGUUGAUUAGGAUAAUUUGGUAAAAUUGCUAUGACAUUUAACUACUUUAUUCAAUUCCUUAAUAUGUGUGCAAUUGGCUAAAGCGACACAUUUUGAAACAGAGAGAGUAGUAGAUAUGUAACUCUAGCAAGUUAGUUUGUAAACUGUGUGUAGUAGUCCUAUCAUUCUAUAAUAUGUACUAACACUGAUUGGAAAAAUCACUCUCUUAGCAGGUUGGUUGAUAAGACUCCUCAAUAGACACCGACCAAGGAUCGAAAAAACAACAUCCAACCAAAUGGUUAAGAGAUACAAAUAUGUAACACUUAUGUCAAAUAAAGAACUUAUACGUGUAAAAGUGCCAUUCUUUACACCCUCAUGAUUUUCAGGCACUAAUAAGUAACCAUUCUGAUUGCUAAGUCUGAGUGUGUGUGCCUAUGAGUCUUACUGUUGUCCACUCCUCAUCCCCACAUAACAUAAAAUAGAUAAUAAAAACAAAAUUAUAGUAGGUAAUUUGAGAUUUGGUCAAAUCUUUUUCACAUUCCAUGUGUAAUGUGUGUCAAAGAUACACUUUAAAACUUUUGAAAUGUCUUUACUUUUCAUGUAAAUCUUAGGAUGUGAACUAUUUGGAAAAUGAAGCCUUUAUCUUAGAAAUGCAAAAGUUCUGUCAGGUUUUAUGCAGGAAAAUUAGUUCACACUCCCUGAUUUUGUCCCCCCCCUCUCUCUCAGAUUGUGGUAAUACUGAUAGAAAAUCUCAUACAUCAAUCAAACUUCUCUAGAUCAUAUAGAAAGACUGAAGUUUUUGAAAAGACACGAUGACCAAACACCAAAACUGAACAAAAAGCAAUAUUUAGAUAUGCUAAAGCACACACAACACAAACAUUCAUUAUUGUGCCUGAAAAUAUCUUAUCACAAGCAGUUCGAGCAUACAAUUUGAUUUCAUCGUAGAAUAAACAGACACACUCAUAGGGGCAUCAAUUCCAAUCAACUUCACAUUGCAAUAUAACACUCCUUCACUAUGGAUAUGCACAUUAUAAGUUAAAACUCACUCACUAAGCUUUGAUGACUUAAAUUUAUUUAUUGUGCAAGAACAGCUCAGAAAAGAGAUCUUUAAUAUCCUUGAAGGCAUCCAACUGAUCUUCAACUGAAUUAAUAUCCUGUGACCAAUAUUGAAUAAUUAAUUUUAAGAUUAUAAAUAUAAAUGAUAAAAUCAUUAAAGUAUACGGAUAAAAAAAAUUAAUAUAUUUAAAAAUUUUAAGAGGAUAUAAUUUACUUAUUUUAAGAAAAACAAUCUUAUUCUCAACCACAAAUGUAAUAGUAUAUAUAUAAAUUCAAGAGAUAUAAAGUUGUGUUGAUGGUCGGAGUUAAUGUCUGUAAGAGUAAGAAAGGAUGAAAGUUCUAUCACCACCCCACAACAUCAUGCCAACAAAUAUUAACAUACCAACCUUUUUCAUUAAAACAGAAAGUAUAUAGACUCUGUAUGGAAGAAAAGAAAGUGUGUAAAAUUCGUACCCAUACUAGUACGGAGGAUUUCUUUGACCCCUUGCGUAAACUUUUUUCUACUCUUCUUUUCUUUGAAGUGGGUGUGAAAAUCUUUACCUUCUCUAGCUUACUUGAGUGACUUACAAUAUAUCGUGUAAAGUCCAACUCAGUUUUUAUGUUUUGAAUUCCAACAAAUUCAAAUGAAAUGAGACUGUUAGUAAGACAUGCCGGAGAUAUCAAUGGCUCCACCCAACUCGAGUUUCCAACCUCCUUUCUUCGGGAAUUGAUUUCAAUUUUUCUCUGCAUGUAAACCAAAAAUUAUCAUUAGAAUUUUCCAAAUGAUAGCAUAUAAGAUAAAAUGUAAGUAAAAUAGUUUGAAAGAAGGUUAAAUUGGAAGGACAAUCUGCACAAAUAUAGAUCACAUAUAGAUUGUAUUGAAUUAAUUAAUUUGUUGAUCGGUUUUAUUUGCAAACUCUAUGCAUCUUUUGCUAGGUCUUUGCUCUUCUUGUGCCAGGUUUUGAGCUUAUAUUAUUUUAUCCUUUAAAAAAAAAAUUGUGCAAAUAUAGUUAAAAAAUCAUACACACCCCAACUGCAAGAUGCUUAAGUUUUGGUGCAUUGUGUAGAAAGCUGACGAGCAUAUUCCAACUGCAAUUCUCAUAUAUUUCAACCGAUAAAAAUAAUAAAUUGUGAAAAGUGAGAAGAUGUAAGUUGUCAAGUUUGGCCUCCAUGCCGAGAAACUGCAUAACAAAGAUGAUAAAAUGAGAAGAGAAUUGCAUAUGGGUGACUAAAUAUGAAACUUGUAAUUAAAAAAGAAAAAUAUUUAUGAAACUUACAUGAAAAGUGUUAGAACCGAGAGCCAAUGAUUCGACUUUAGAAAGUCCCUUCAGUACUGUAUACAAAUUGUUAAAAUCCGCAGGAUUACAAAUGAAAAUAGCAGCUUCAUCAAGAUUGGACAAAUUUGUAAAGUCAUAUUUUCUAGGAGCCAAUGAAAAAUCAACAAGAUAAAGAACUUCAAGUGACGGGGCAUUAAUUUGUAGUGGAAAACACUUAACAACAGAAGUAGGUAUAUAUAAACAAAGGAAUAAUCUCUUCAAUAAGUAAAAAGAGGUGUUGAUCGGUAAUGCAAAGGUCCCAGCUAAAUUAAGUUCCUCCAAAUGUGGACAACCAGAUAGAAAAUUAUUGAGAGCAUACUCUGUACGAUCAUCAAAGAUAGAAUACGCCACAGUUUCACGGAGAUGAAGAAUCUUUAGUGACGGUAAAUAUACAUGAAAAGAAGAAUUGAGUUUUGGUUGAAUUCUGCCCUGCAAUUUUAAGACCACGAGUGACUCACAUGUGGAAAGCCUAAGCGGCAAUAAGAUUUUUUCAUGGAGAAACAGAUCCAACUCAAGUUCCUGGACCUUGAGAUCUAAUGCCUUUGAAACCCACAUGCGUACAUCAUGUGGCUGACAGCCAUUCUCACUAUUAAGACUUAGUUUUCUUAUAUUUUCGGUGCGUCUUAGGAGAGCAACAUUUACAAAUUUGAUUUCUUUGGAUAACACAGGAUCUGAAUUCUCUGGUAAUUGAAAGUGAAGGUUAGGAAUCUUGGUGCAGAUCGACUCCCAUCUUGUGGAUAGAACACAUGUUCUAUAACACUCUUUGGUUGAUAGGAAAGACAAAAUAUGACAAAUCAAAUCGUCUGAGAGAUUGCUUAAUCGAUCAUGUU
rnacentral:lncRNA from 1 species